rnacentral:rRNA from 1 species
UACAGAGGGUGCGAGCGUUAAUCGGAAUUACUGGGCGUAAAGGGCGCGUAGGCGGCCCGCUAAGUCGAACGUGAAAUCCCUGGGCUCAACCCAGGAACUGCGUCCGAUACUGGCGGGCUUGAAUCCGGGAGAGGGAUGUGGAAUUCCAGGUGUAGCGGUGAAAUGCGUAGAUAUCUGGAGGAACACCGGUGGCGAAGGCGGCAUCCUGGACCGGUAUUGACGCUGAUGCGCGAAAGCCAGGGGAGCAAACGGG